CUUGAGCAUCGCACCGACAACUCCAUUGGUCGAACGCUAGAGAAAGUCGAAAACAAAAUGAAAGCAGUGGUGAUAACAGCACUAGGUGGCCCGGAGGUGCUGCAAUUGCAAGAGGUAGAUGACCCGCAAAUCAAAGACGAUGAGGUCCUCGUCAAGGUCGAAGCUACGGCCCUCAACCGGGCGGAUACGCUCCAAAGAAUAGGCA
rnacentral:misc_RNA from 1 species